GUCUGUGGCCAUGCCACCCUGAACAAGCCCGAUGUCUGAUCUCGGAAGCUAAGCAGGGUCGGGACUGGUUAGUACUUGGAUGGGAGACCACCUAGGAAGACCAGGUGCUGUAGGCG
rnacentral:rRNA from 1 species